rnacentral:rRNA from 1 species
GCAACCUGCCUGUAAGCGGGGAAUAACCCGUUCGAAAGAACGGACUAAUACUAGCAUAAUACUAAAUUACUGCAUGGUAAUUUAUUUAACAUUUAUGGCUUACAGAUGGGCAUGCGCAUGAUUAGCUAGUUGGAGAGGUAACGGCUCCCCAAGGCAACGAUCAUUAGGGGUUCUGAGAGGAAGGUCCCCCACACUGGUACUGAGACACGGACCAGACUCCUACGGGAGGCAGCAGUGAGGAAUAUUGGUCAAUGGACGAGAGUCUGAACCAGCCAAGUCGCGUGCAGGAAGAAUUGUCCUAUGGAUUGUAAACUGCUUUUGCAGGGGAAUAAAGUGCAUCACGUGUGAUGUUUUGUAUGUACUCUGCGAAUAAGGAUCGGCUAACUCCGUGCCAGCCGCCGC